rnacentral:rRNA from 2 species
ACGCCGCGUGAGUGAAGAAGGCUUUCGGGUCGUAAAACUCUGUCGUUGGAGAAGAAUGGUCGGCAGAGUAACUGUUGCCGGCGUGACGGUAUCCAACCAGAAAGCCACGGCUAACUACGUGCCAGCAGCCGCGGUAAUACGUAGGUGGCAAGCGUUAUCCGGAUUUAUUGGGCGUAAAGCGAGCGCAGGCGGUUUUUUAAGUCUGAUGUGAAAGCCCUCGGCUUAACCGAGGAAGCGCAUCGGAAACUGGGAAACUUGAGUGCAGAAGAGGACAGUGGAACUCCAUGUGUAGCGGUGAAAUGCGUAGAUAUAUGGAAGAACACCAGUGGCGAAGGCGGCUGUCUGGUCUGUAACUGACGCUGAGGCUCGAAAGCAUGGGUAGCGAACAGGAUUAGAUACCCUGGUAGUCCAUGCCGUAAACGAUGAAUGCUAGGUGUUGGAGGGUUUCCGCCCUUCAGUGCCGCAGCUAACGCAUUAAGCAUUCCGCCUGGGGAGUACGACCGCAAGGUUGAAACUCAAAGGAAUUGACGGGGGCCCGCACAAGCGGUGGAGCAUGUGGUUUAAUUC